rnacentral:rRNA from 1 species
GGAAAAGGGUGGUAAUGCCGGAUGCUCCAGCUCAUUGCAUGGUGUGUUGGGAAAGCCUUUGCGGCAUGGGAUGGGGUCGCGUCCUAUCAGCUUGAUGGCGGGGUAACGGCCCACCAUGGCUUCGACGGGUAGCCGGCCUGAGAGGGCGACCGGCCACAUUGGGACUGAGAUACGGCCCAGACUCCUACGGGAGGCAGCAGUGGGGAAUAUUGCACAAUGGGCGCAAGCCUGAUGCAGCGACGCCGCGUGAGGGAUGGAGGCCUUCGGGUUGUAAACCUCUUUUGUUAGGGAGCAAGGCAUUUUGUGUUGAGUGUACCUUUCGAAUAAGCACCGGCUAACUACGUGCCAGCAGCCGCGGUAAUACGUAGGGUGCAAGCGUUAUCCGGAAUUAUUGGGCGUAAAGGGCUCGUAGGCGGUUCGUCGCGUCCGGUGUGAAAGUCCAUCGCUUAACGGUGGAUCCGCGCCGGGUACGGGCGGGCUUGAGUGCGGUAGGGGAGACUGGAAUUCCCGGUGUAACGGUGGAAUGUGUAGAUAUCGGAAAGAAACACCA